CUGUGGUUUGUUUUUGUGUGUUGUUAUUUGUUAGGUCUGUCAGCAGGAUUACAGAGAAACUCCUGGCCCGAUCUUCAUGAAACUUGAUGGAAGGGUGUAGCACAGGCAAAGGAA